UACGUAGGGGGCAAGCGUUGUCCGGAUUUAUUGGGCGUAAAGAGCGUGUAGGCGGCCUGACAGGUCUGCUGUGAAAACUCGAGGCUCAACCUCGAGAUGUCGGCGGAAACCGUCUGGCUAGAGUCCGGAAGAGGAGAGUGGAAUUCCUGGUGUAGCGGUGAAAUGCGCAGAUAUCAGGAAGAACACCUAUGGCGAAGGCAGCUCUCUGGGACGGUACUGACGCUGAUGCGCGAAAGCGUGGGGAGCAAACAGG
rnacentral:rRNA from 1 species